GAUCCUGGCUCAGAAUCAACGCUGGCGGCGUGCCUAACACAUGCAAGUCGAACGCGAAAGCCCCGCAAGGGGUAAGUAGAGUGGCAAACGGGUGAGUAACACGUGGGUGACCUGCCUUCGAGUGGGGGAUAACGUCCCGAAAGGGACGCUAAUACCGCAUGACAUCCUGCUUUUGGAAAAGCGGAGAUCAAAGCUGGGGAUCGCAAGACCUGGCGCUUGAAGAGGGGCCCGCGCCUGAUUAGCUAGUUGGUAGGGUAACGGCCUACCAAGGCAACGAUCAGUAUCCGGCCUGAGAGGGCGGACGGACACACUGGGACUGAGACACGGCCCAGACUCCUACGGGAGGCAGCAGUGGGGAAUUGUUCGCAAUGGGCGCAAGCCUGACGACGCAACGCCGCGUGGAGGACGAAGAUCUUCGGGUCGUAAACUCCUGUCGAGUGGGAAGAAUGCUUCGGGGGUGAAUACCCUCCGGAAUUGACGGUACCACUAAAGGAAGCCCCGGCUAACUCCGUGCCAGCAGCCGCGGUAAUACGGGGGGGGCAAGCGUUGUUCGGAAUUACUGGGCGUAAAGGGCUCGUAGGCGGCCAACUAAGUCGGAUGUGAAAUCCCCAGGCUUAACCUGGGAACUGCAUCCGAUACUGGAUGGCUUGAAUCCGGGAGAGGGAUGCAGAAUUCCAGGUGUAGCGGUGA
rnacentral:rRNA from 1 species